UGUUGGCACGCUUGACUCGGCACGCAUCGCCGCGCGAGUACCACGUUCUCGGCUUGUGCUUUCGUCGCUUGACUUCGGCGCGGCCAGCCAAGCUUCCGAUCUCGGCACUCCUAUUCCAGCUCUCAAGCCGAAGACAUGGACAGCUUGCUUGGGAAAUACCUCUUCGGGGUGUUUGCUGCCGUACUCGCUAUGCUGAUCAUGGCCCCAAAUGAAGCUGGGGCAAUUCCACCUGAAGUCCUCUUAACCUUGGGACGAAAUCAAGACAAUGUCGAGUAACGAAGCAUCAGUCUUCGGGAUACAAUGCUGCUGGUUUGCGUUCCAUUGACGGCACCUGCUACGUAACUGAAUAAAAUGAAUGAAGCAAAAUGCACUGGAAUGAAUAAACAGGACAUUAUUGGAGACAAACUCACUUUUCUACCGAGUGUCACAUUUUUUUUUAAUUUGCUUUCGUGUAAUCGCCCUUAGGCGCUGCUAUACAUAUAUUUCUCAUUCUGUUCCUUCGUCGUAUGAUGCCAAAGAGUCUUUCUUAAUAUAUUUCGUGCUAAAAAUGAAGAAAGGGCGUCAAUCUAGGGGCCCGAUGUUUAUUUGUCAUAUCAUAGGAAGCCAACAAGCACUGACACCAAGGUACACGCAGGUGAAAAUACUUGUGCUUAUAAAAUGAAAAUGAAGAAACGGUAAAUUAAUGGAAAUGAAGGUGGAUGAAGAAACAAG